rnacentral:rRNA from 1 species
UACGUAGGUGGCAAGCGUUGUUCGGAAUUACUGGGCGUAAAGGGCGCGUAGGCGGCCUACUAAGUCAGACGUGAAAUCCCCCGGCUUAACCUGGGAACUGCGUCUGAUACUGGAAGGCUUGAGGAUGGGAGAGGGAUGUAGAAUUCCAGGUGUAGCGGUGAAAUGCGUAGAUAUCUGGAGGAAUACCGGUGGCGAAGGCGGCAUCCUGGACCAUUACUGACGCUGAGGCGCGAAAGCUAGGGGAGCAAACGGG